UUGCUUGGUCUUCUUCCAGUCUAGUAUCCAAAAGUAUGACUACAUACUUAAUCAUUCAAGAAUAUAGGAGUGUUUUCCUACAGUGUCGAAUCUUUGGCCUAGAUUGUAUCAUCAAGGAGCUCAAAGACAAAAUCGUAUUCUUGUUUUGCUUUCUAUUCACCAGCAAUCUCUGUAACCUUAGCCUUGGAAGAAGCAUAUCUGGAAAUUUUAUAACAAGGCCAAAUGUGAAAGCUCUUAACAAUUUCAAAGAUAUGGUUGGUACAAGAUAAUAACAUUAAGAUGCUAAUAGAGAAUUUAGUUGCCAGAAAAGAACUAUGCUUAGGCCAAAGAGUCUAACACAUCCUUGAAUUAUUUCUGGCUUGUAUACUUCAGGUUUUGUAUGAUGCUAACUGGACCAUUGAUGUUCUAAUUAUAUUUGUUUUCCUGUAAAGCUGUUGAGACUCCUGUCAGAUUGCAAUGUGGUAGAAAAUGUUAAUAAAUAAAUAAAUAAAUACCUCAAUAAACUCUAAGAUCUGUU